AAAUCCGGUUGAUCCUGCCGGAGGCUACCGCUAUUGGAGUUCGAUUAAGCCAUGCGAGUCGAGAGUCUUAGGGACUCGGCGUACCGCUCAGUAACACGUGGGUAACCUGCCCUAUGCUGGGGAAUAACCUCGGGAAACUGAGAAUAAUGCCCCAUAGUUCACUACGCCUGGAACGGUGAGUGGAUGAAAGCUCCGGCGGCAUAGGAUGGGCCUGCGGCGUAUCAGGUCGUAGGGGGUGUAACGUACCCUCUAGCCAUCGACGCGUACGGGUGUUGGGAGACAUAGCCCGGAGAUGGAUUCUGAGACACGAAUCCAGACCCUACGGGGUGCAGCAGGCGCGAAAACUUGGCAAUGCGAGAAAUCGUGACCAGGGAACUCCAAGUGGCUGGGGUAAGACCCAGUCUUUUCUUGACUCUUCAAAGGUCUUGGAAUAAGAGGUGGGUAAGGACGGUGCCAGCCGCCGCGGUAAUACCGGCGCCUCAAGUGGUAGUCGAUUUUAUUGGGCCUAAAACGUCCGUAGCCUGUUUGGUACAUUCGUGGGUAAAUCAACCAGCUCAACUGGUUGAAUUCUGCGAGCACGGCCAGACUUGGGACCGGGAGAGGUGUGGGGUACGCUCAGGGUAGGGGUAAAAUCCUGUCAUCCUGAGCGGACCACCUGUUGCGAAGGCGCCACACUAGAACGGAUCCGACGGUCAGGGACGAAGCCUAGGGGCACGAACCGGAUUAGAUACCCGGGUAGUCCUAGGUGUAAACGCUGUGGACUUGGUGUUGGGGNNNNNNNNNNCGAUCAUUCUCAGUGCCGAAGCGAAGGUGAUAAGUCCACUGCCUGGGGAGUACGGUCGCAAGGCUGAAACUUAAAGGAAUUGGCGGGGGAGCACCGCAACCUGAGGAUUGUGCGGUUUAAUUGGAUUCAACGCCGGAAAACUCACCAGUGCCGACGGACAGAUGAAAGCCAGUGUGAUGAGCUUGCUGGAUUGUUCGAGAGGUAGUGCAUGGCCGCCGUCAGUUCGUACCGUAAGGCGUUCUGUUAAGUCAGAUAACGAACGAGACCCUCAUCCCUAUUUGCUAAGGUUUCUCCCUUCGGGGCGAGAUCACAGGACUAUAGGGAGACCGCUGGCGAGAAGUCAGAGGAAGGUGAGGGCAACGGUAGGUCAGUAUGCUCCGAAUGCACUGGGCUACACGCGCAAUACAAAGGACGGGACAAUGGGCCGCUGCUCCGAGAGGAAAGAUGGCUAUCCCGAAACCCGUUCGUAGUUCGGAUUGAGGGCUGUAACUCGCCCUCAUGAAGCUGGAUUAGGUAGUAAUCGCGUCUCAAAAAGGCGCGGUGAAUAUGCCCCUGCUCCUUGCACACACCGCCCGUCAAACCAUCUUAGUUGGGGGUGGGUGAGGCUGCCUUUUAGUGGGGUAUUCGAGCCUGCCUUCGACAAGGAGGGUUAAGUCGUAACAAGGUAUCUGUAGGGGAACCUGCAGAUGGAUCACCUCCUAAGUAA
rnacentral:rRNA from 1 species